GACGAACGCUGGCGGCGUGCCUAAUACAUGCAAGUAGAACGCAGUUGCGAACGGGUGAGUAACGCGUAGGUAACUUCCUCAUAGCGGGGGAUAACUAUUGGUAACGAUAGCUAAUACCGCAUACUGUGAGAUGGACCUGCGUUGUAUUAGCUAGUUGGUGAGGUAAAGGCUCACCAAGGGGACGAUACAUAACCGACCUGAGAGGGAGAUCGGCCACUAUGGGACUGGGAAACGGCCCAGACUCCUACGGGAGGCAGCAGUAGGGAAUCUUCGGCAAUGGACGGAAGUCUGACCGAGCAACGACGCGUGAGUGAAGAAGGUGUUCGGAUCGUAGAACUCUGUUGUUAGAGAAGCGGUAGCUAACCAGAAAGGGACGGCUAACGACGUGCCAGCAGCCGCGGUAAUUC
rnacentral:rRNA from 1 species